AUUGAACGCUGGCGGCAUGCCUUACACAUGCAAAUCGAACGGUAACGGGCCUUCGGGUGCCGACGAGGGGCGUACGGGGGAGUAAUACAUCCGAACGUGCGCGAUCGCGGGGGAAAACGAGGCGAAAGCUCUGCUAAUACCGCAUACGAACUACGGAUGAAAGCAGGGGACCGCAAGGCCUUGCGCGGACGGAGCGGCCGAUGGCAGACUAGGUAGGCGGUGGGAUAAAAGCGUACCGAGCCGACGAUCUGUAGCUGGUCUGAGAGGAUGAUCAGCCACACUGGGACUGAGACACGGCCCCGACUCCUACGCGAGGCAGCAGUGGGGAAUUUUGGACGAUGGGCGAAAGCCGGAUACAGCCAUGCCGCGUGCAGGAUGAAGGACUUCGGGUUGUAGACUGAUUUUGUCCGGAAGGAAGAGAAUUCUUUUAAUACAGGAGGGUAAUGACGGUACCGUAAGAAUAAGCACCGGCUAACUCCGUG
rnacentral:rRNA from 1 species